UACGUAGGGGGCAAGCGUUGUCCGGAUUUAUUGGGCGUAAAGAGCUCGUAGGCGGCUUGGCAAGUCGGGUGUGAAAGUCCAGGGCUCAACCCUGGAAGGCCGGUGGAAACUGUCGGGCUAGAGUCCGGAAGAGGCGAGUGGAAUUCCCGGUGUAGCGGUGAAAUGCGCAGAUAUCGGGAGGAACACCAAUGGCGAAGGCAGCUCGCUGGGACGUUACUGACGCUGAGACGCGAAAAGCGUGGGGAGCAAACAGGG
rnacentral:rRNA from 1 species